rnacentral:rRNA from 1 species
CGUUAGCGGCGGACGGGUGAGUAACACGUGGGUAACCUACCUAUAAGACUGGGAUAACUUCGGGAAACCGGAGCUAAUACCGGAUAAUAUUUCGAACCGCAUGGUUCGAUAGUGAAAGAUGGUUUUUGCUAUCACUUAUAGAUGGACCUGCGCCGUAUUAGCUAGUUGGUAAGGUAACGGCUUACCAAGGCGACGAUACGUAGCCGACCUGAGAGGGUGAUCGGCCACACUGGAACUGAGACACGGUCCAGACUCCUACGGGAGGCAGCAGCU